rnacentral:rRNA from 1 species
UACGGGGGGGGCAAGCGUUGUUCGGAAUUACUGGGCGUAAAGGGCUCGUAGGCGGCCCUCUCAGUCGGAUGUGAAAUCCCCAGGCUUAACCUGGGAACGGCAUCCGAUACUGGAGGGCUUGAAUUCGGGAGAGGGAUGUAGAAUUCCAGGUGUAGCGGUGAAAUGCGUAGAUAUCUGGAGGAACACCGGUGGCGAAGGCGGCAUCCUGGACCGAUACUGACGCUGAGGAGCGAAAGCCAGGGGAGCAAACGGG